rnacentral:rRNA from 1 species
GAUGAACGCUAGCGGCAGGCUUAACACAUGCAAGUCGAGGGGUAGAAAUAGCUUGCUAUUUUGAGACCGGCGCACGGGUGCGUAACGCGUAUGCAAUCUGCCUUGUACUGGGGAAUAGCCCGGAGAAAUCCGGAUUAAUGCCCCAUGGUAUUUUUGUGUGGCAUCACACGAUUAUUAAAGAUUUAUCGGUACAAGAUGAGCAUGCGUCCCAUUAGUUAGUUGGUGUGGUAACGGCACACCAAGACGAUGAUGGGUAGGGGUCCUGAGAGGGACGUCCCCCACACUGGUACGGAGACACGGACCAGACUCCUACGGGAGGCAGCAUUGAGGAAUAUUGGUCAAUGGGCGCAAGCCUGAACCAGCCAUGACGCGUGCAGGAUGACGGCCCUAUGGGUUGUAAACUGCUUUUAUACGGGAAGAAACACCUCUUCGUGAAGAGGCUUGACGGUACCGUAAGAAUAAGGAUCGGCUAACUCCGUGCCAGCAGCCGCAGUAACAC